rnacentral:lncRNA from 1 species
AAGACCGCGGAGGGUAGCGUAGAGCAGGCCUUCGCCAUGGUCUUCGGCAAGGUCUCCGACGACCUCGCAGGCGCCACGGACCGGAUCAAUGAACUCCUGGAUGGCGUGAGACGAAAGGUCACGUCUGUCAUACAAGAAGGCGUCAAGAACAAAGCUGGCUCCCCGGCGGAGGAGACCCGAAAGUGACAAGCUGUUCUGAUUCCGGGCGUGACGACAGAGGCUACGUAUUUCCGGUGGUCCGACUUCUGGCACGAGGC